AGGACGAACGACUGGCGGCGUGCGUUAACUAACAUGCAAGUACGAACGGUGAAGGCCCUUCGGGGUGGAAUCAGUGGCGAACGGGUGAGUAACACGUGGGCAAUCUGCCCUGCACUCUGGGACAACACCGGGAAACCGGUGCUAAUACCGGAUAUGACCUGCUCGGGCAUCCGAGUGGGUGUAAAGCUCCGGCGGUGCAGGAUGGGCCCGCGGCCUAUCAGCUUGUUGGUGGGGUAAUGGCCUACCAAGGCGACGACGGGGUA
rnacentral:rRNA from 1 species